UGGGGAAUUUUGGACAAUGGGCGAAAGCCUGAUCCAGCCAUGCCGCGUGAGUGAAGAAGGCCUUCGGGUUGUAAAGCUCUUUUAGUCGGAAAGAAAGAGUUGCAAUGAAUAAUUGUGAUUUAUGACGGUACCGACAGAAAAAGCACCGGCUAACUACGUGCCAGCAGCCGCGGUAAUACGUAGGGUGCGAGCGUUAAUCGGAAUUACUGGGCGUAAAGGGUGCGCAGGCGGUCUUGCAAGUCAGAUGUGAAAGCCCCGGGCUUAACCUGGGAAUUGCGUUUGGAACUACAAGACUAGAGUGCAGCAGAGGGGAGUGGAAUUCCAUGUGUAGCAGUGAAAUGCGUAGAGAUGUGGAAGAACACCGAUGGCGAAGGCAGCUCCCUGGGUUGACACUGACGCUCAUGCACGAAAGCGUGGGGAGCAAACA
rnacentral:rRNA from 1 species